AGUGGUGGCACUGCCAGCCCUGCAGUGGGAUGUAGCCUGGAAACUGCAGAGAGCUGAGCCAAGGGAUUGAAAGGGACCAAGCAAGGGAGGUGAAGAAAGAAGGAAGAAGGGAAGUGAGGCAGCAGCCAAGCAGCAGCAAGUUGCUGUGUAAGCAGAAGUUGCACUUGAUGAACUUCCCAUCUGAGCUGAUGCCCUUGGCAGGAGAAGUGCUCAGCAAGGAGGCUCUUUGCUCCUAGGCAGGAAGAAAGGCCAGUGCCCUU